CGACCUCAGAUCAGGCGGGACUACCCGCCGGAUUUAAGCAUAUUAAUAAGCGGAGGAAAAGAAAACAACCGUGAUUCCCUUAGUAGCGGCGAGCGAACCGGGAAAAGCCCAUCGCCGAAUCUCGCCGCGCACUUUUGUGUCGCGGCACGUAUGAGAGUUGUGGCGUACGGGCCGGCCUCGUUGCCGGGGCGCACGUGACGGUCCAAGUCUCCCUUGAACGGGGCCAUGGCCCGCAGAUGGUGCCAGGCCAGUAGAGGCCGUCACAGCGUUCCGGGAUCGGACCGCGCCUUCGAGUCGGGUUGCUUGAGAGUGCAGCCCGAAAGCGGGUGGUAAACUCCAUCUAAGGCUAAAUACGGCCACGAGACCGAUAGUUUACAAGUACCGUGAGGGAAAGUUGAAAAGAACUUUGAAGAGAGAGUUCAUAAGAACGUGAAACCGCUCGGUUGUAAACGGACAGAGCUCGCGAAUCCCCGCCGGGCGAAUUCACGGUCGGUCUAACCGCCGGCCGGAUCUUUCGCUCGGUUAGCGGACGUCGCGACCCGUUGGGCGCCGGCCGAAUGGCCCGGGUGACGUUCGUCGCGUCGGUCGCGUUUCGGCGUGACCGUUCGCGCCGAGCCCCGGUGCUCAUGGUCGGCUCGCCCGACGGCAAGAACCGUCGACGCGGCCCCGUCGCAGGCGGGGUCCCGUCGGUCGGCGACGUGUUUCGAGCUACUUUCCGACCCGUCUUGAAACACGGACCAAGGAGUCUAACGUGUGCGCGAGUCAACGGUGAUCUUACGAAAAACCACGUUUGGCGCAAUGAAAGUGAACCGUUUACGGUGCGGACGAUGGCCUAGCGACCGAACCCACCGGCGUUCAAAGUCGCGCUGGUCCGCAGUCCGGGGGCGUCUCCGCCAAGUCGGCUUCGGCCGGCUGGGGGCGCACCCUUAGCGCACACGUUGGUACCCGAAAGAUGGUGAACUAUGCCUGGCCAGGAUGAAGUCAGGGGAAACCCUGAUGGAGGUCCGCAGCGAUUCUGACGUGCAAAUCGAUCGUCUGAGCUGGGUAUAGGGGCGAAAGACUAAUCGAACCAUCUAGUAGCUGGUUCCAUCCGAAGUUUCCCUCAGGAUAGCUGGCGCCGAUGUGUCCCGCCCGUUCGCGGGCGUACGGACGCCGGUGGGACUCCGCGCUGUACGGCGCGGUAACAACACGCUCGUAACACGGAGGAUGUCUCAUACGGUAAAGCGAAUGAUUAGAGGACAUUGGGGCCGAAACGACCUCAACCUAUUCUCAAACUAUAAAUGAGUGAGAUCGCCGGCUUUACCUGGUACACCGCGUGAACCGCGUGCGAAGCCGGCGACGGAACCCUAGGCGCUUAGUGGGCCAUUUUUGGUAAGCAGAACUGGCGCUGCGGGAUGAACCCGAACGCCGAGUUAAGGCGCCGAAAUCGACGCGUAUUCAGAGACCAUGAAAGGCGUUGGUUGCUGAUGACAGCAGGACGGUGGCCAUGGAAGUCGGAAUCCGCUAAGGAGUGUGUAACAACUCACCUGCCGAAGCAACUAGCUCUGAAAAUGGAUGGCGCUGGAGCGUCGUGCCUAUACUCGGCCGUCGACGGCAUAGUGGGGCCAGUCGUCGCUCGCGGCGGCCGGUCCCGGCAAGCCUCGACGAGUAGGAUGGCGCGGCGGUGUGCGUCGAAGGGCAGGUCGCGAGACCGCCUGGAGCCGCCGUCGGUGCAGAUCUUGGUGGUAGUAGCAAAUACUCGAGAGGGGCCCUCGGGGGCUGCCGUGGAGAAGGGUUUCUUGUGAACAGCCGUUGUCCAAGAGUCAGUCGAUCCUAAGCCCGGGGAGAGAUCCUCGUACCACGGGCGAAGGCGUUUUCGAAUCGCCCUUGGGGCGAGAGGGAAUCCGGUUCGUAUUCCGGAACCCGACGCGGAACCGCUCCCUAGUGUUCGGGGCUCUUUUGUCUCGUCUGGGUAACCAGAAUGAACUCGAAGAAGCCGCCGGGGGAUCUGGGUAGAGUUCUCUUUUCUCUGUGAGCGUUGUACGUCCCUGGAAUCCUCUAGCCGGGCGAUAGGGACGCGAGCGCGAAGAGCACCGCUCGUUGCGGCGGUGUCCGUGAUCCCCACGCGGACCUUGAAAAUUCGAGAGAGGGCCACGCGGAGUCUUCGCGUCGGUUCGUACCGAUAUCCGCAGCAGGUCUCCGAGGUGAGCAGCCUCUAGCCGCAUAGAAUAAUGUAGGUAAGGGAAGUCGGCAAAACCGAUCC
rfam:Acyrthosiphon pisum strain LSR1 Contig5551, whole genome shotgun sequence.